GAGGCUCUAGGGCUAGUUGGGCCCUAGGUUGAAAGGCUGUGGGCCUUUCAGGUUCUUGAGGUCUAGGUUAUGUGGGCCUCAAAGGACCAACUCUUUAUGGGCCAGGUCUGGACCCAGAAUAGAUGAGAUUAGGUCGAGUCAUGGGUGUACAUGGGCUUGGGUUAACCUAAUCUCCCAUAGAGUUGGUCAAGGGAGUUUUGGGUUUGGAUCACUUGACCA
rnacentral:lncRNA from 1 species